GACGAACGCUGGCGGCGUGCUUAACACAUGCAAGUCGAACGGAAAGGCCCUGCUUUUGUGGGGUGCUCGAGUUGCGAACGGGUGAGUAACACGUGAGUAACCUGUCCUUGACUUUGGGAUAACUUCAGGAAACUGGGGCUAAUACCGGAUAGGAGCUCCUGCUGCAUGGUGGGGGUUGGAUAGUUUCGGCGGUUGGGGAUGGACUCGCGGCUUAUCAGCUUGUUGGUGGGGUAGUGGCUUACCAAGGCUUUGACGGGUAGCCGGCCUGGGAGGGUGACCGGCCACAUUGGGACUGAGAUACGGCACAGACUCCUACGGGAGGCAGCAGUGGGGAAUAUUGCACAAUGGGCGGAAGCCUGAUGCAGCAACGCCGCGUGCGGGAAGACGGCCUUCGGGUUGUAAACCGCUUUCGCCUGUGACGAAGCGUGAGUGACGGUAAUGGGUAAAGAAGCACCGGCUAACUACGUG
rnacentral:rRNA from 1 species